ACGGGGGCCCGCACAAGCGGUGGAGUAUGUGGUUAAUUCGAUGCAACGCGAGAACUUACCUGGUCUUGACAUCCCGGAGACCCUUAGGAAACUAGGGGGUGCUUCCAUCUGGAAGAAUCUGGAGACAGGUGCUGCAUGGCUGUCGUCAGCUCGUGUCGUGAGAUGUUGGGUUAAGUCCCGCAACGAGCGCAACCCUUGCCUUUAGUUGCCAGCAGUUCGGCUGGGCACUCUAAAGGGACUGCCGGUGUUAAACCGGAGGAAGGUGGGGAUGACGUCAAGUCCUCAUGGCCUUUAUGACCAGGGCUACACACGUACUACAAUGGCCGAUACAAAGGGCAGCGACACUGCGAGGUGAAGCCAAUCCCGUAAAAUCGGUCUCAGUCCGGAUUGGAGUCUGCAACUCGACUCCAUGAAGUUGGAAUCGCUAGUAAUCGUGGAUCAGCAUGCCACGGUGAAUACGUUCCCGGGCCUU
rnacentral:rRNA from 1 species